GAUUAGCUCAGUUGGUAGAGGAUGAAACUUAAUCUCAGGGUUGUGGGUUCAAGCCCCAUGUUGGGCA